rnacentral:rRNA from 1 species
AGCGAACGCUGGUGGCAGGCCUAACACAUGCAAGUCGAACGAAGUCUUCGGACUUAGUGGCGGACGGGUGAGUAACACGUGGGAACGUGCCUUUAGGUUCGGAAUAACUCAGGGAAACUUGUGCUAAUACCGAAUGUGCCCUUCGGGGGAAAGAUUUAUCGCCUUUAGAGCGGCCCGCGUCUGAUUAGCUAGUUGGUGAGGUAAAGGCUCACCAAGGCGACGAUCAGUAGCUGGUCUGAGAGGAUGAUCAGCCACAUUGGGACUGAGACACGGCCCAAACUCCUACGGGAGGCAGCAGUGGGGAAUCUUGCGCAAUGGGCGAAAGUCUGACGCAGCCAUGCCGCGUGAAUGAUGAAGGUCUUAGGAUUGUAAAAUUCUUUCACCGGGGACGAUAAUGACGGUACCCGGAGAAGAAGCCCCGGCUAACUUCGUGCCAGCCGCCGCGGUAACAC